GGGGUUGUGGCUCAGUGGUAGAGUGCUUGCCUAGCACACAUGAGGCCCUGGGUUUGAUCCUCAGCACCA
rnacentral:tRNA from 1 species